UGGAUAUAAAGCAUGGUGUUUCU
rnacentral:piRNA from 1 species